rnacentral:rRNA from 1 species
GGCGUGCUUAACACAUGCAAGUCGAACGGAGUAUCCUCCCGAGACCGAGGAAGCUUGCUUCUGAAGAAUCAUUGGAAUACUUAGUGGCGGACGGGUGAGUAACGCGUGGGUAACCUGCCUCACACAGGGGGAUAACAGUUGGAAGCGACUGUUAAUACCGCAUAAGCGCACAGUACCGCAUGGUACAGUGUGAAAAACUCCGGUGGUGUGAGAUGGACCCGCGUCUGAUUAGCUAGUUGGUGAGGUAACGGCCCACCAAGGCGACGAUCAGUAGCCGGCCUGAGAGGGUGUACGGCCACAUUGGGACUGAGACACGGCCCAAACUCCUACGGGAGGCAGCAGUGGGGAAUAUUGCACAAUGGGGGAAACCCUGAUGCAGCGACGCCCGCGUGAGUGAUGAAGUAUCUCGGUAUGUAAAGCUCUAUCAGCAGGGAAGAUAAUGACGGUACCUGACUAAGAAGCACCGGCUAAAUACGUGCCAGCAGCGGC